CUGGCCUGGGCGACAGAGCGAGACCUUGUCCCAAAAAAAAGUAAAAGAAAAAAAAAUUAUCUGAGUCAUGAACCUAACUCAGUUUUACAUAAAACAAGGGUUUUUUUUGUACUUUUAAUAUCUACUGAAUUUUCCAGAAGGAAAGACAGUUCUUUUUUUUUUUUUAAUUUUGUUCAGCGCUUUGCCAACAGGUGUUGACAACUUCAGAAAGUCAUGGUAUUGGCAGCAAGGCCAGGUUCAGAUUGAGCCCUGCCACCCUGCCUGUUCCCUCUGCUGUGGGCUUCUGCAUGGAGGGCAUUCGUCCACCUCAUGGAGUCCUGUGGCCCCAACGUUUACAUAUUCAAAUCAGUGUUUUAUUAUAAAUUACUUUCCCUUUUUUUCUCCAUCAUAGCUAUGGAAUAACAUAGUUUGCAACUGCAUGUAAAUAGGUAGGUUUCAUUAUUUAUACAUUUCAACGUAGAAUAGUAAGGCUUGAUAUAAAAUAUGUAUUGUAAGAAAGGCUCCUCGUGUCUGGCAGGGCAGGGACCUCAGCCCUAAUCACUGCAGGAGACAGCAAUGACCUGGUUUUCCUCCCUUCCUUUUCUUGGUUCACACCUUCAGCCCUGUUGUUAAGAGCUCUGUGGUGUUACUGGGUGCGUGUCUUUCAUGGAAAGCCAUCUUCCUGGAAUUCAGACAGAAUGUAGAACUAAAAAUUGAGGCAACAAGCAGAGGUUUCCAUCAGACUUCUUAGUUCUGGCAGAAGUCAAGAGACCCAGGCAAGGGUUCUGGGUCCCAACCCCCAGUCUUAACUCCCAAAGUGUCCCAUCUCCUAAAGUGGCCCAGAUUGUCACUGUCAACCACUGACUGUUCUCUCAGGUGGGAAUUUCCCAGUCAGCAGGAUGGGCACUGCAGAUGUGUGUCUGCAUGCCAGCGGACCCGGCACCCUCCUUCCUCCCUGCCAACCGCCUCCACCUCUCCCACUCAGCAGUUCACACCUUCUGGGUUUCCCCCACCCCCGCCCAAACCACACAGUAAUCAGAGAAUCAGUGGCUGUCACCGCUCAAAGGGACCUCAAAGUCCUCCUCCAGUCCCAGGCAUUUGAAGUAACAAAAUCUCUAACAUGUAUCCAGCUCUCAAUAUGCGCCAGCUGAUACACUUGUGUCAAUUUCCCUAACCUUCCCAAAAUCUCAUGAGGAGAGAGAGUGGGAAGGGAGAAUCAAGUUCCUGAUGCCUUGCUGGGCUCCCAGAUCGACAGCACCUUCUGCCCGCCUCGCAACAGGCAGCAGCUAUAGUGCUCCUGACACAUACCUGGGCUAGCAGACCUGGCCACUGCCCCGCAGUCAGCAGAGCUCAUCAGCCUUGUCUGCCACCGACCAAGGACCAGUGACUGUCCUCUCAGGGUUGGGAUUAAGUCGCAAAGGGUUUGAGAGAUUGGGGAUGACAAAAGGGACUUGGAGACUAAUUAGGAGCAGCAAUGAAAGCUUAAUUCAUAAAA
rnacentral:lncRNA from 1 species